AUACGGAGGGUGCAAGCAUUAAUCGGAAUUAUUGGGCGUAAAGGGCGCGUAGGCGGAUUGGUAAGUCAGAUGUGAAAUUCCGAAGCUCAACUUCGGAGCUGCAUUUGAAACUACCAGUCUAGAGGAUUGACGGAGAAAACGGAAUUCCACGUGUAGCGGUGAAAUGCGUAGAUAUGUGGAAGAACACCUGUGGCGAAAGCGGUUUUCUAGUUUAUUCCUGACGCUAAGGCGCGAGAGCUAGGGGAGCAAACAGGAUUAGAAACCCCGGUAGUCC
rnacentral:rRNA from 1 species